UGCCAGCCGCCGCGGUAAUACAUAUGUGGCAAGCGUUGUUCGGAAUCACUGGGCAUAAAGCGUCUGUAGGCGGAUAAGACAGUUGGAUGUGAAAUCCCUCAGCUCACCUGAGGAAUAGCAUCCAAUACUUCUUAUCUGGAGUCCUUGAGAGGAAAGCGGAAUUCCAGGUGUAGCGGUGAAAUGCGUAGAUAUCUGGGAGAAGGCCAAUGGCGAAGGCAGCUUUCUGGCGAGUGACUGACGCUGAGAGACGAAAGCAUGGGUAGCGAACGGGAUUAGAUA
rnacentral:rRNA from 1 species